rnacentral:rRNA from 1 species
UACGAAGGGGCUAGCGUUGCUCGGAAUCACUGGGCGUAAAGGGUGCGUAGGCGGGUCUUUAAGUCAGGGGUGAAAUCCUGGAGCUCAACUCCAGAACUGCCUUUGAUACUGAGGAUCUUGAGUUCGGGAGAGGUGAGUGGAACUGCGAGUGUAGAGGUGAAAUUCGUAGAUAUUCGCAAGAACACCAGUGGCGAAGGCGGCUCACUGGCCCGAUACUGACGCUGAGGCACGAAAGCGUGGGAGCAACAGGG